AAUGAACGCUGGCGGCAGGCCUAACACAUGCAAGUCGAACGGGCAUCUUCGGGUGCUAGUGGCGGACGGGUGAGUAACGCGUGGGAACGUGCCCCUUUCUACGGAAUAGCCCUGGGAAACUGGGAGUAAUACCGUAUAAGCUCGAGAGAGGAAAGAUUUAUCGGGAAGGGAUCGGCCCGCGUUGGAUUAGGUAGUUGGUGGGGUAAUGGCCUACCAAGCCGACGAUCCAUAGCUGGUUUGAGAGGAUGAUCAGCCACACUGGGACUGAGACACGGCCCAGACUCCUACGGGAGGCAGCAGUGGGGAAUCUUAGACAAUGGGGGAAACCCUGAUCUAGCCAUGCCGCGUGAUCGAUGAAGGCCUUAGGGUUGUAAAGAUCUUUCAGAUGGGAAGAUAAUGACGGUACCAUCAGAAGAAGCCCCGGCUAACUCCGUGCCAGCAGCCGCGGUAA
rnacentral:rRNA from 1 species